rnacentral:rRNA from 1 species
AGAGCGAACGCUGGCGGCAGGCUUAACACAUGCAAGUCGAGCGGGCGUAGCAAUGCGUCAGCGGCAGACGGGUGAGUAACGCGUGGGAACGUACCUUUUGGUUCGGAACAACCCAGGGAAACUUGGGCUAAUACCGGAUAAGCCCUUACGGGGAAAGAUUUAUCGCCGAAAGAUCGGCCCGCGUCUGAUUAGCUAGUUGGUGAGGUAAUGGCUCACCAAGGCGACGAUCAGUAGCUGGUCUGAGAGGAUGAUCAGCCACAUUGGGACUGAGACACGGCCCAAACUCCUACGGGAGGCAGCAGUGGGGAAUAUUGGACAAUGGGCGCAAGCCUGAUCCAGCCAUGCCGCGUGAGUGAUGAAGGCCCUAGGGUUGUAAAGCUCUUUUGUGCGGGAAGAUAAUGACGGUACCGCAAGAAUAAGCCCGGCUAACUUCGUGCCAGCAGCCGC